UACGGAGGUGGCAAGCGUUACUCGGAAUUAUUGGGUGUAAAGGGCAAGUAGGCGGUCUAUUAAGUGAGGGGUGAAAUCCUGCGACUCAAUCGCAGAAUUGCCUUUCAAACUGGCAGACUUGAGGCUGGAAGAGGGAAACGGAAUUAGCAGUGUAAGGGUGAAAUCUGUAGAUAUUGCUAAGAACACCGGCGGCGAAGGCGGUUUCCUGGUCCAGUUCUGACGCUGAAUUGCGAAAGCUAGGGGAGCAAACAGA
rnacentral:misc_RNA from 1 species